ensembl:lncRNA
AGUGGCUCCCUUAAUUAGUUGAUUGGGGUCACCUGGGGGAUCCAAGAUGGUGGAUAUAUACAGCAUGGUGGCCAGUGGUUACAGGCCCCGGCAGGAUAAGACUUUGUAAAGCCAUUCACCCAGAAGCCAGCACACACCAGAGCUAAGGAGUCCAACGGGGGAACGUGACCGCCCCUUCACCAUCUUUGUUUGUCAAGUGUUUGUCUAAACAUGUAAACCAUAACUGAACGAGACAGCUACCGUUCACCACAACGCUUGGGCUAUCUCCAUAGCAAGAGAGAGAAGGACCAGCGCUCACCAGGAACCCAGGUGAGUCACUACACAUGUGCCCCGGAAGCUAGUUGCCUACCAGCUGUGGUUAUACUACGUAUGUGUCUCGACUCCUGCCUAGACAGAGAGCCGGUUUUCCCUAGAUACCAGUGGGGUCGUGACAUAAUAAUGUCACGAUCCUACUGUCGGGUAAGGUUAAGCUGGUUGGUAACUGGUGGUCAUGGUAACGGUGGGAGUGGCUCCCUUGAUUGGUUGAUUGGGGUCACCUGGGGGAUCCAAGAUGGUGGAUAUAUACAGCAUGGUGGCCAGUGGUUACAGGCCCAGCAGGAUAAGACUCUGUAAAGCUAUUCACCCAUAUGCCAGGACACACCAGAACUAAGGAUUACAACGGGGGAACGUGACCGCCCCUUCACCAUCUUUGUUUGCCAAGUGUUUGUCUAAACAUGUAAACCAUAACUGAACGAGACAGCUACCGUUCACCUCAACGCUUGGGCUAUCCCCAUAACAAGAGAGAGAAGGACCAGCGCUCACCAGGAACCCAGAACCUGGUUUUAGUUUAGAAUGCAGCUUAAGUGUAGAAGAUGCUCUAGUGAUCAUCUACAGGAUGACACUAUGACAAAUGUCGAGGAGAACAUACCUCCUCCCUCAUCUGCUGACCAAACUGAUGAUGAGCCUGACUUGGAGCAAACCCCUGAGUCAUCCCAGGCUCAAGAACAAGAAUAUUUUCCAGCUCCCAAAAAGUCGAAGGCAUUUGAGGACCUCUUUGGCGAUAUGUUCGGCACUGGUGAUCCAAGGCAAAAGACCUCCAGAGACCUAGUCCAAGCAGAAGUUGCCAAGUGUAAAGAUACUGACCCUUUCCCCUGGAAGGUAAUGUGAUGGAGUGGUGGAAAACACAUCAGACUGAGUUUCCCCUCCUGGCAAACCAUGCCAAAACCUACCUGUGCAUUCCUGGUACUAGUGUACAUUCAGAACGUGUUUUCAGCACUGCUGGAGACAUUGUCCGCUCUGAACACAGUGUUUUGUCUGCAGAGCAAGUAGACCAGUUAUUGUUUUUUAAAGAAAAACCUCCAAAAGGACACUGGAGGACAUAUUUGAUCAUUAAACUAUUGAUUGUUAUAGUGAAAUGGUUACUAAUACAUUUGUUCUGAAAGAAAUACAUUUGUUCUGAAAGCUAUUACAGGCUCUUGAGUUAAGCUUGGUUUUUUUUGAAGAAAAACCUCCCAAAGGACACUGGAGGACAUAUUUGAUUAUUAUAUUAUUGAUUGUUAUGGUGAAAUGGUUACUUAUACAUUUGUUCUGAAAGAAAUACAUUUGCUCUGAAAGCUAUUACCUUAAGUUAAGGUCUUAAAUGAAUGGCUUUUGUUUAACAUCUGGAAGAGCAAAGCAAUAAAAUGUUUAAAUUAUAAUUAUGUUUUUUUUGUGAGUUGAAGUGAAUGAAACAGGUUGUGUUAAAUGGGCAAAUGAUAUCGUCUCAUAUCGAUAGCAGGCCACUUAAUGUAAUCGAAAUGGUAUCGCGGCAGACUUUUGAUAGCGGCAAUUAUCUUAUCGUUGUCGAUUUAAUAUCGUAUCGUGAUGAAACCAGAGAUUUACACCCC